rnacentral:rRNA from 1 species
AGAUUGAACGCUGGCGGCAUGCCUUACACAUGCAAGUCGAACGGCAGCACGGGAGCAAUCCUGGUGGCGAGUGGCGAACGGGUGAGUAAUACAUCGGAACGUGCCCAGUAGUGGGGGAUAGCCCGGCGAAAGCCGGAUUAAUACCGCAUACGACCUAUGGGUGAAAGCGGGGGAUCGCAAGACCUCGCGUUAUUGGAGCGGCCGAUGGCAGAUUAGGUUGUUGGUGAGGUAAAAGCUCACCAAGCCGACGAUCUGUAGCUGGUUUGAGAGGACGACCAGCCACACUGGGACUGAGACACGGCCCAGACUCCUACGGGAGCAGCAGUGGG